GACGAACGCUGGCGGCGUGCUUAACACAUGCAAGUCGAACGGAAAGGCCCUGCUUUUGUGGGGUGCUCGAGUGGCGAACGGGUGAGUAACACGUGAGUAACCUGCCCUUGACUUUGGGAUAACUUCAGGAAACUGGGGCUAAUACCGGAUAGGAGCUCCUGCUGCGUGGUGGGGGUUGGAAAGUUUCGGCGGUUGGGGAUGGACUCGCGGCUUAUCAGCUUGUUGGUGGGGCAGUGGCGUACCAAGGCUUUGACGGGUAGCCGGCCUGAGAGGGUGACCGGCCACAUUGGGACUGAGAUACGGCCCAGACUCCUACGGGAGGCAGCAGUGGGGAAUAUUGCACAAUGGGCGGAAGCCUGAUGCAGCAACGCCGCGUGCGGGAUGACGGCCUUCGGGUUGUAAACCGCUUUCGCCUGUGACGAAGCGUGAGUGACGGUAAUGGGUAAAGAAGCACCGGCUAACUACGUGCCAGCAGCCGCGGUGAUACGUAGGGUGCGAGCGUUGUCCGGAUUUAUUGGGCGUAAAGGGCUCGUAGGUGGUUGAUCGCGUCGGAAGUGUAAUCUUGGGGCUUAACCCUGAGCGUGCUUUCGAUACGGGUUGACUUGAGGAAGGUAGGGGAGAAUGGAAUUCCUGGUGGAGCGGUGGAAUGCGCAGAUAUCAGGAGGAACACCAGUGGCGAAGGCGGUUCUCUGGGCCUUUCCUGACGCUGAGGAGCGAAAGCGUGGGGAGCGAACAGGCUUAGAUACCCUGGUAGUCCACGCUGUAAACGGUGGGUACUAGGUGUGGGGUCCAUUCCACGGGUUCCGUGCCGUAGCUAACGCUUUAAGUACCCCGCCUGGGGAGUACGGCCGCAAGGCUAAAACUCAAAGGAAUUGACGGGGCCCCGCACAAGCGGCGGAGCAUGCGGAUUAAUUCGAUGCAACGCGUAGAACCUUACCUGGGUUUGACAUGGAUCGGGAGUGCUCAGAGAUGGGUGUGCCUCUUUUGGGGUCGGUUCACAGGUGGUGCAUGGCUGUCGUCAGCUCGUGUCGUGAGAUGUUGGGUUAAGUCCCGCAACGAGCGCAACCCUUGUUCACUGUUGCCAGCACGUUAUGGUGGGGACUCAGUGGAGACCGCCGGGGUCAACUCGGAGGAAGGUGGGGAUGACGUCAAGUCAUCAUGCCCCUUAUGUCCAGGGCUUCACGCAUGCUACAAUGGCUGGUACAGAGAGUGGCGAGCCUGUGAGGGUGAGCGAAUCUCGGAAAGCCGGUCUCAGUUCGGAUUGGGGUCUGCAACUCGACCUCAUGAAGUCGGAGUCGCUAGUAAUCGCAGAUCAGCAACGCUGCGGUGAAUACGUUCCCGGG
rnacentral:rRNA from 1 species